rnacentral:rRNA from 1 species
GACGAACGCUGGCGGCGUGCUUAACACAUGCAAGUCGAACGGAAAGGCCCUGCUUUUGUGGGGUGCUCGAGUGGCGAACGGGUGAGUAACACGUGAGUAACCUGCCCUUGACUUUGGGAUAACUUCAGGAAACUGGGGCUAAUACCGGAUAGGAGCUCCUGCUGCAUGGUGGGGGUUGGAAAGUUUCGGCGGUUGGGGAUGGACUCGCGGCUUAUCAGCUUGUUGGUGGGGUAGUGGCUUACCAAGGCUUUGACGGGUAGCCGGCCUGAGAGGGUGACCGGCCACAAUGGGACUGAGAUACGGCCCAGACUCCUACGGGAGGCAGCAGUGGGGAAUAUGGCGCAAUGGGCGGAAGCCUGAUGCAGCGACGCCGCGUGCGGAAUGACGGCCUUCGGGGUGUAAACCGCUUUCGCCUGUGACGAGGCGUGAGUGACGGUAAUGGGUAAAGAAGCACCGGCUAACUACGUG